rnacentral:rRNA from 1 species
UCCGUAGGCGGGCAAUUAAGUCAGAGGUGAAAUCCCACAGCUCAACUGUGGAACUGCCUUUGAUACUGGUUGUCUUGAGUUACAGUGAAGUAGAUAGAAUAUGUAGUGUAGCGGUGAAAUGCAUAGAUAUUACAUAGAAUACCGAUUGCGAAGGCAGUCUACUAACUGUAUACUGACGCUAAUGGACGAAAGCGCGGGGAGCGAACAGGAUUAGAUACCCUGGUAGUCC